rnacentral:rRNA from 1 species
GACGAACGCUGGCGGCGUGCUUAACACAUGCAAGUCGAACGGUAAGGCCCUUCGGGGUACACGAGUGGCGAACGGGUGAGUAACACGUGGGUGAUCUGCCCUGCACUUCGGGAUAAGCCUGGAAACUGGGGCUAAUACCGGAUAGGACUCCUGGCUUCAUGGAUGGGGGUGGAAAGCGUUUGCGGUGUGGGAUGGGCCCGCGGCCUAUCAGCUUGGUGGUGGGGUAAUGGCCUACCAAGGCGACGACGGGUAGCCGGCCUGAGAGGGUGACCGGUCACACUGGGACUGAGAUACGGCCCAGACUCCUACGGGAGGCAGCAGUGGGGAAUAUUGCACAAUGGGCGCAAGCCUGAUGCAGCGACGCCGCGUGAGGGAUGACGGCCUUCGGGUUGUGAACCUCUUUCAGCUAUGACGAAGCGCAAGUGACGGUAGUAGCAGAAGAAGGACCGGCCAACUACGUGCCAGCAGCCGCCGCAG